rnacentral:rRNA from 1 species
UACGGUAGGGAGCUAGCGUUGUCCGGAAUCAUUGGGCGUAAAGCGCGCGUAGGCGGCCCGGUAAGUCCGCUGUGAAAGUCAAAGGCUCAACCUUUGAAUGUCAGCGGAUACUGCCGGGCUAGAGUCCGGAAGAGGCGAGUGGAACUCCUGGUGUAGCGGUGGAAUGCGCAGAUAUCAGGAAGAACACCAACGGCGAAGGCAGCUCGCUGGGACGGAACUGACGCUAAGGCGCGAAAAGCGUGGGGAGCGAACAGG